rnacentral:lncRNA from 1 species
UUCGUAACUUCCCCCUUUUCGAUAACCCUAACCUCUUUUCUCUUUUUCACCGCUGAACACCCACCCCGCUGAGCACCCCUCUCUUCGUCGUGAGCACCCCUCUCUUUGCAACUUCCCAUCUUUGCCAUUGAGCACCCCUCUCUUCUCAGCACGACCACCUCUCUUCUGUUCUUCGAGUUCAGCCGUUGACCAGCCCUUUGUUCGCAGCAUGCCAACUCCUCUCUUUGCACUCAGCCCGCUAGUGUUUACUCAGCUAUCCUUGAGCUCUGAUCCUUGCCAUUGAUCUUGAGGUACGCUAUUGACUUUAUUCUCUCUGUGUUAAUGAUCUCUGUGUUUGUUCUUGAGCUCUUGAAGCAAAGAGCUCUUAUUCUCUGUGUUUGUUUUUGAGCUCUUGAAGCAAAGAGCUCUGGUGAAUUUAUUUCUCCUCUUUCUCUCUCUUCGCUUGCCCUCUGCUGCCAAAUCUCUCUGUAUUUCAGGAAAGGAUGAACGAGAAGGCCCCCUGAGAUUUGAUAAAAGGAAGGUGCAUUAGCGGUUAAUACGUUGUAAUUGGAUAAGUUUUUUGGAAUAUGACGGAACGAAGGACGAAGGAAAGGAAGAAGAAUGCACCAAAAUGCAGCUGCUGCACCAAACGCAGGUGCUUGUUUCUUGUUGUAAGUGAAUGCAACGGGUCUUAUCCAAGGAGCUUAAUGCCAAACACAAGAAGGUAUUCCCUAUUUUACCUUUCCCUUCAAUUAUUGUAAAAUUUCUCUCCCUUGUAUUAUUUUCUUCUUUAUUUUCACAUUUCUCAUUCCCAAUUUUACUAAUGUGAAUUGAAUUAUUUGAUCAUUUUGGGUUCCUAUUUUUUCCCCUCAUUUUGAAUUUGAUUGAAAUAUGGGUGGAAGGCAUGCAUGUCUUAAAAUCUGAUCAAGUGACAGAUACUGUUAUUAUCUAGUUUUUAUGUAUUAGGUUUUUUUUUUUUAGUCUUCAUGUAUUAAGCAUUAGCAAAAAGAUUGGAAAUUGUGGUAUCUUUCUGUUAGAACAUUUUGGUUUUACUAUUAUUGUUAGUAUUCCAUUUGCUUUCCCACUCUCUCUCAGUGAAAUUGCCUGAGCUGAAAUUAUUUGAAAAUGGAAUUGAUUUUAGUUGGUGAUUUUCUUAAGUCUAUUGAUCUCAUCUUAUGAUGAUUUGAAGGAAUUUGUGCGGGUUUAUGAAAAUAUUGCACAUAUCAUAUAGCAUUCAAGAUUUCUCAUUUAAGAUUGGUGAACAUAUUAAUCAAAUUUACAUUUGAGCUUUUGUGAUUUGGGAGUUAUUGAUCCAGUCAAGAUUUGUUUGAUGUGUAAGUUCCAAAAGAUGAGAAGGGUCUUAAAUAGGAGUUUGAAACAGGGAUCUUUUCAGGUCAAGUUGUUAACUUUGUCAUCUUAGAAGCCCGCAUCUGUUACCAAUUUGUUUUAUGUUGGCCAGUUUCAUUUUCCUGGGUUACUACUCGAUUCUUUAUGGGAAGUUGUCAAUCUUCUGUGUUUUUGUUAUUUUCAUAUUUCAUGGUGUUCGGAGGUUUUUGGAGAGAGCUUUUUGUACUUUUGAGCAGAUAAAGCUUAUUAAUUCACAAAUAUAUGAAAUGGAAGUAUCAUGCUAUGUGGUUGGUUUGUUAAGUAGUCUGCUAAUAUCUAAUUUUGACUACAUCUGCCUGAUGAAUAUCCAAGUAAAGGUACUCCCAUAAUAUAUCAUAAUCAUGAUUCUUUGGAGGUUUUUGUCUAUUAGAGAGAGCCGAUGAAUUUUUCAGCGGUAGAAGAAUGGUUGUGACUGAGGCCUCAUUUGGGCAUACAUUUUUCCAGCAGCGCCAAUGUUUUUUUCUUGCACCCAUUUAAGAUUCGUUGGCGUCGUAGUGUGGUCCGUUAUAAUCUAUGGGGAAAGAUUAUUACUUGUAAACCCCCCCUUUUCCCAAAACACAGCCUAGAUUCUCGUGAAACUACAAUACACAAAAACAUGCUUGUCCUCCAUUCCUCCAGAAGUUGGACUUCUUUGGUGUGACUAUGAUCGCUUAAGACUACAGUUAUUUAGGAUUGCCUAUAUAGUUAGGCAGGUUUAUUUGCUAAAUGUGUCUAUAUUUUUGGAGAAAAUGUCAACUUUUUGUUAAAUAUUUAUGUUUGAGCUAUAAUGCCUUGUACUUUUUAUUAUUUAUUUAUACUUAAUAUUAAGUGCCAUCUAGUUUAAAGAAAUCAACCUAAUGAGGCUUUAUUAUAACUGCUAAAGAUUACCAUAACAAUAUGAGCCAGUGGAACCCUAUAGAGGAGGCCCAAUUCAUUGAUUUCUUGUCGAAAGAGGUCAAGAAAGGGGGACUUCAAGAAAGGUGUAUGGAAUCGGAUGACAAAAUAUAUGGUAAGCAAUUAUGGGUACUGUUAUGACUUGGAACUGUUGAAGAGUAAGGUCAAGCAGUUUGUAGAAAUGUACAGGGAAGUAAGUAAGAAACAUUUUGAGACAACCUGGUUUUGGCUGGGAUAAGGCUAAUGGAAUGGUGACUGCCGAACCAGCCAUAUGGGAUCAGUAUACAGCUGUGAGUUGAAAUGCAUUUGUUUUCUAUUUCUUUGUGGUUUUGCAAUUUUAGGUGCAAUGUUCACACAAAUUCAAUACAUAUGUGUGUUCUUCUUACUGGAGUUUACUUAUAUGACAAAGUACAAAGGUAAAUCUUUGCCUAUAUACUUCAACAAAUUGGAGAAGAUAUUUGGCACAAAUGCUUCAGAUUGAGGGCAUGUGAAAGGGGGAAGAAAUAGGUAUUGAUGUCUUUUUCAAGGGAUCUCGGCAUCUCUAGACUGUCUUCCUAAGCAUCUUGUCCUUUUUUUCAUUAAUGUUGGGAACAUUGUGGGACAAACAACAAUGUUGUUUUAUUGUUGAAUGAGAUAUAUUUUUGAGGUUGGGAUAUGGAUGCAUCAGUUGUGAAUGUAUGUCUAAGUGGUGUUCAAGCUAUUACAAGUUAUUAUUGAAUGAGCUGGUUUCUUAUUGCUUGUAUAUGGAUGCAUUAAUUGUGCAUGUGUGUUUGUAUGUUGUGCUGAAGCUAUUAUAGCACAAUCCAAUAGAAUACAGGAAACCAAAUCCACAAUUGCCAUGGCCGCCGAUAGAUAAUGAGUGUGCAUGUAUGUGUGUGCACGUGUGUGUGAGGAAUAGCGAGAGAGCAUGAGAGAUAUUGUAAUCGGUUUAAGAAGGAAGUCAUCUACAACCUACUUAUGAAAUUUAAACACCUAUUCCACUGCAUAUUUGUAAAAAGACUCAAUAGAUUGUACACCCACAAUAGUUAAGAAAAUAUAUUGAUUUCUAUUUUGAGACAGUUAAUUAGGAAACUAGUGAUUUAGUACAUAUUAUUGAAUUGAGGUUCUGCUUGACUUUGUCGAUAGAUUGCUUCAAUUUUGAGGUGCAAUGAAGUUUAUUAUGCAACAUCUUGCUUCAACUGAUGUACAAAUUUAUCUCUCUAGGACACUUCUCUCACUCAUCAAUAACACUCUCUCUUUCUCUCCCCCUCUCUCUCAAUCCAACAUACUUUACUUUCAAUUGAUAUUGUAUCCCAAAAAAUAAUAUUCUAUAAAUUAAUAAAAUUUAAAAAAAAAUUCUACAAAUUAAUAAAAAAUAAAUAAUGUCUAGGUCUCAAUUUUAACAUUUUACAUCUAGUCUAUUUAAAGCCAAUCCGUUAUAGAUACUCAGAACUUCUUUAACUUCCCAAGAGGUUAUCAAACAUAGAAACCAAGAACUUCUUAACUUCCCGAGAGGCUAUCAAACACACAAAUUAGGAACUUCUUAACUUCCCAGAGAAGUUAUCAAACACAGAAACCAUGAACUUCUUAAGUAACUUCUAAUUUACAGUUCUUCAGGAACGUCCAAUUUACAGUUCAUGAACUUGCUUCCAGUUAUCAAACAAGCCUUUAAGGAACUUCUCUAGGAUUUUACGUUAUUUUUUAUUAUGAAUGGAGAGAAACUAGAGGCAGUUGUAUAUAGACCUCUACUUUGGUCUUAAUUCAAUCCAGAGUAGGAGUUAUAGAUCUGGCUUUAGGCUUCAUGAUAGGGUUUGACUGGUCAAAGAAUUUAGUAUUCCACAAGGUUUUAGGGCUCUAGAAAAUUCCUGAAAUAUGCCUUCUAGAAAUUGAACCGAAGUUGGUCUAAUAUAGUAAUGGAUUUAUCUAGGCUGACAAGAGUCUCUCAAAAAAUCUGGUGAACAAAGAGUCAAGUGAUGCACAUCUCACUGCUAGCUUAGAUCAGGCCUAAAUUUUUCUGGGUGGUAUAAAAACCUGUUGAGUUUAGAAGUGCAAGUUUGGUACCAAUCAAAUGGGUUUUGAGAUAUUUGAUAUAGGUUUUCUUGGCGCUUUAGGACUCUAUUUGUUGUUUUGGAUAAGUCUAAAUCAAUCAGAAUGUGGACAAAUUUGGGUUGAUUCGACUUGUUUAAGAAGAUUUUGUAGUUUUUAGGAGUUAUGGGCUAUUGGUUCGGAUGUACUGGCUAUUAUGUCCCUAUAGUUCAGGGUUAUGGGUUUAUAGGAAUUUUAGGAUUUAGGAAUUAAGAUUUGUUCUUGGAGGUAGACAGCUACGACAGUUUGCAAUAUUUCCUUCCCUAGUACGUAAUGGUUAGAGGGCAUUUGUUUCACCAGAGUAUCCUCGAAACGCCACAUCAUCCUACUCUGUGGGGACGUUCUCAUCACAAGGAGACAAAAUACCCCAGAAAUCAUAACUUUCGAGAAAGCUCUCAUCUCAAGAAACAAUAUAGUCAAAUUUAUUAUCGAUCCACCAUGGCUUUUGUGAAAAAUCAAGGCGAGAAGUUCGCUGAAAAUUACGCAACCUUGCAAGAAAUUUGCCCCUCUUCAUAAUAAAAGAAAUUGCUUUUCAAUAAAAACAGUUGUUUCAUGCGGCUGGAUCGCAUUUCUACAAUAUGCUGUCCACAGGUAUAAAGCAUCCAUCUUAAAGAUGGAUGCAAAUAGGUGGUCCAUCUAAAAACAAUUUUAAUUAACGGUCCAAAUGUUUUUUUAUUGGGAAAAGUUUUUACAGAGCCGAGGCUCUAAAUAAUCAAAUAAGAGCCUACCUCAAAAAUUUCACUAGAAAAGAUUGUUUUGAUGCCCAAAUAUCCUCAAAUUGAUCAUCUUGACAUCAAGAUGCAUGGACAUGAGAAAAAAAUGUAUUUCAAGUUUUGGAAAUAGUGUAUUUUGUAACGUAUUUUUGGACCAUCAAUUUUCAAGUUUUCAAAGAUCUGUUGAUCUACACUAUUUUGAAGCUUUAAACUUUGUAAAUAAAGAUGAAAAUAAGGCUGUCACAAAGAUUUCCAAUAUGGAAACCAUAUUUCUCGACACAAUUUGAAGGGAGGCUCUAAUUUGAUUGUUUAGAGCCUAGGCUUUAUACAAACCUCACCCUUUUUUAAUAUAACUAUUAUUUCUAGUUUUCAAAAUUUAUUUAUUUUUCAUAUUCAUGAUCUCCAUAUUAAAAAUUAUAUAUACUCUAAAAAUUAGGAUCAAAUUAUAAUUAAAAAUAUAUUUAUUGCCAAGCCCACAUUUCUACAAUAUGCGGGCCUGCUGCAUGCCAACCACGUCCUUUCAAUAAUAUUUUGAAUGGGAAAGUCUUCAAUAAACCCCAUCAUGCCAACCACGUCCUUUCAAUAAUAUUUUGAAUGGGAAAGUCUUCAAUAAACCCCAUCAAACAGUGCCAAAAUGGCAUGAAAUUUUGAGGUUAAGGUUCUUCCACUGUCCACCUUCUGCAUGAGUUUUGAGGUAGGCAUCUUUGUAAUUUUGAUACUUUUCCCCGCUCCACAGCCCAUUGACCAUGGUCCCAAAAUUAUUUUCUCGGUAUGUCUUCCAUCCGACAUUGUUUUGGGCCAGUACUUUGAGGAUAUCUUUGGGUAUAUUGGACGAUUGCACAACUUUUAUUGUGUAGAACUCUCUACCUGUUGGAUUAUGGCCAAUAAGGCCUCAUGACUAUCGUAGUAUUCAUGGUCACUCUCGUACUUUUUAUUUUAACUGUAUUUAAUUUAAUUAAAGUAUAUCAUAUACUUGUUAUAAUGGUCUCAUUGCAUUCAAAUCCUUUGACUAUCUUUUAUAGUAGAUUUCAUUCUUUUUUUGAACCACCCAUCAAUGAUAUUCUAACGGUCACAUUAAACCAAACACUUUUUCUUUGGGGUAAGAGGGAGAGUGAUAAAAAAUGGAAAGGCUUAGCUAUUUAUAUGGGCAUAGAGAAUCUGGACCAUUGGAUGCAAAAUUUGCUAUAUGUGGUGAGGGGAUAAGCUCCAAUGCUUAUAAAAGGGGCUCUCUCACCUAUUACAGAACACGGAGAAAAAUCUCAGAGCCAUUGCCUAUCUCUCUAGUUAUCCUUAAGCUUACAACAAAAUCUUUUUUUUCUUUUUUUUAGGGUAAAUUGCUAAAAACCCCCAAAUAUAGAUUUUCUAGGCACUUUACUCCCAACUUAACUUUUCCUAACAUAUUUUUCCCCAAAACCAACUUUUCUAGCUAAUAGCCCCCUAAUACAAAAAGUUCACUUUUUUUGACGAAAUUACCCUUCCCUCACAAAACAAUAG